CUCUACCCUUAGCACAACAACACACACUUACACUGCAAAUGCAAUAUAUUGUGAUUGUGUAUAUAGUGAAUAUUUACUAAGUGAGAAUUCAAAGUGAGUUUCACAUUUAAAGUCAAAAUAACAAAUUGGAAAAUUUCUGUAUAUCAGCUAUGCUUUAAUUUCUAUUACCCUGGCCUUAAAUAUGGAAUCCACUCUGAAUUCUCACCUUAGUAAAUGGCCCUGUUAGUUGCAGAAUUGUGUUUUUCUUAAGCUAAGUCCUCUAAGCAUGGUCUUCUGUUGAUUUAUGUACAAUUUGUCCAACAGAAACUGAAGAUUUCUGCGAAAUAGAU